rnacentral:rRNA from 1 species
AUACGUAGGUGACAAGCGUUAUCCGGAUUUACUGGGCGUAAAGGGCGUGUAGGCGGUCUUGCAAGUCAGAAGUGAAAUUCCUGAGCUCAACUCGGGCGCUGCUUCUGAAACUGCAGGACUUGAGUGCUGGAGGGGAUAGCGGAAUUCCUAGUGGAGCGGUAAAAUGCGCAGAUAUUAGGAAGAACACCGGUGGCGAAGGCGGCUAUCUGGACAGUAACUGACGCUGAGGCGCGAAAGCGUUGGGAGCAAACAGGAUUAGAUACCCUGGUAGUUCACGCCGUAAACGAUGAAUACUAGGUGUAGGGGGUAUCGACUCCCUCUGUGCCGCAGUUAACACAAUAAGUAUUCCGCCUGGGGAGUACGGCCGCAAGGUUGAAACUCAAAGGAAUUGGCGGGG